GUAAUGCUCAAAUCCUGGCGGCACUUUAUUCCACAACAAAAAGUGCUGCCAGUGUUUGAGUACCAC
rfam:Cricetulus griseus cell line CHO-K1, whole genome shotgun sequence.